CCUUCGAUAGCUCAGUUGGCAGAGCGGAGGACUGUAGAGAGUUAACUCAGUCAUCCUUAGGUCGCUGGUUCAACUCCGGCUCGAAGGA